AACUCAAAGGAAUUGACGGGGGCCCGCACAAGCGGAGGAACAUGUGGUUUAAUUCGAUGAUACGCGAGGAACCUUACCCGGGCUUAAAUUGCAGCGGAAUGAUGUGGAAACAUGUCAGUGAGCAAUCACCGCUGUGAAGGUGCUGCAUGGUUGUCGUCAGCUCGUGCCGUGAGGUGUCGGCUUAAGUGCCAUAACGAGCGCAACCCUUGUUGCCAGUUACUAACAGGUAAUGCUGAGGACUCUGGCAAGACUGCCAUCGUAAGAUGUGAGGAAGGUGGGGAUGACGUCAAAUCAGCACGGCCCUUACGUCCGGGGCUACACACGUGUUACAAUGGGGGGUACAGAGGGUCGCUACCACGCAAGUGGAUGCCAAUCCCCAAAACCUCUCUCAGUUCGGAUUGAAGUCUGCAACCCGACUUCAUGAAGCUGGAUUCGCUAGUAAUCGCGCAUCAGCCACGGCGCGGUGAAUACGUUCCCGGGCCUUGUACUCACCGCCCGUC
rnacentral:rRNA from 1 species